UGGAAUCGAACCUGGGACCCUUCAGUCCGCAGUCCGACGCUCUAUCCACUGAGCCAAACCAGCCAGGGCCUGGAGCCUUUUAAAAAUUAAUCCCUUCACAAAGUGCACUCCCUCCUCCAUCCUCACGUACCGAAGGAGCUUCGAUAGGACCGCCCUUGACUCGCCACAGCCAAACCUACAGCUGCUCCACCCUCCUUGACAGGAAAGACUAGGAACUCCCCGAGGGCAGGGACCCACUGCCAGCAUGCUGCCUGGAAUACAGUAGGUGCUCAAUCAGUGUUUACUGGAUGAACUGUCUGUCUCCUUGUCUGCAUCCCCAGCCCCCUGGAUUCUUUCUGAGGGUUGGGUCUGGGUCUGAGCUGCCUCAGGGUUCCCAGCACCAUCUCCAAGGAGCACAGAGAAUGUUUGUUAAAUGAAUGAGGGAGGGAGGAGGCAGCUGCAUCCAUUGCUAGGACAGAUCUAGUGCCCCCAGGCUUUUCCUACUUUGAAUGGAAAUCUCCCCAAAUCAGGCCCUGGUUCCUGACUCUCUGGGUCCCCCAUGUUCCCCGCCCCCCUUCCCUGUCCUUAAUUGCUGACAUGAGCCUGGUCUCCCUCAGAACCAUCCUUUCUUUACUUCUCCACCCAUCACUUAAAACUUCCUUUCCUCCAGCCCCUCCCUCCCUCACCCAACUCCACUGCCUCAUCAUAUCACACAUGCCACACCCUUCCCCCCCCUCCCUCAGGCUUCUACCUCCACUUCUCUGGCUCCUCCUCCUCCCCAGUCCCCUAAUGUUGGUGUUCUAGGACUCUAUUCAGCCCCCUUCUUAUUUUCUUCUUCAAGAAGCCCAUCCACCCCCUCAGAUUCCAGCCAAAGGUGAGGUAACCCCGCCCCAGGCUUUGCACCUUUUCCAAAAACCCUUCCUGGACGUCUCCAGACCCUGUGGACUCCUCGCUACCACCGGGUGGAGGGCUCCACCCCAGGUCAGGACUCCGCCUGCCUCCACCCAGGUCUACUACCAGGAUGGAAUCUGAGUAAAGGGGUUUGUUUGGGCUGUGGGUAACAAAGAUUAAAA